rnacentral:rRNA from 1 species
CUCCGGAAUUAUUGGGCGUAACCGCGCGCAGGCGGUUUCUUAAGGUCUGAUGUGAAAGCCCCCGGCUCAACCGGGGAGGGUCAUUGGAAACUGGGGAACUUGAGUGCAGAAGAGGAGAGUGGAAUUCCACGUGUAGCGGUGAAAUGCGUAGAGAUGUGGAGGAACACCAGUGGCGAAGGCGACUCUCUGGUCUGUAACUGACGCUGAGGCGCGAAACGUGGGGGAGCGAACAGGAUUAGAUACCCUGGUAGUCCACGCCGUAAACGAUGAGUGCUAAGUGUUAGAGGGUUUCCGCCCUUUUAGUGCUGCAGCAAACGCAUUAAGCACUCCGCCUGGGGGAGUACGGUCGCAAGACUGAACUCAAAGGAAUUGACSGGGGCCCGCACAAGCGGUGGARCAUGUGGUUUAAUUUCGAAGCAACGCGAAGAACCUUACCAGGUCUUGACAUCCUCUGACAACCCUAGAGAUAGGGCUUCCUUUCGGGGGCAGAGCUGACAGGUGGUGCAUGGUUGUCGUCAGCUCGUGUCGUGAGAUGUUGGGUUAAGUCCCGCAACGAGCGCAACCCUUGAUCUUAGUUGCCAGCAUUCAGUUGGGCACUCUAAGGUGACUGCCGGUGACAAACCGGAGGAAGGUGGGGAUGACGUCAAAUCAUCAUGCCCCUUAUGACCUGGGCUACACACGUGCUACAAUGGGCAGAACAAAGGGCAGCGAAGCCGCGAGGCUAAGCCAAUCCCACAAAUCUGUUCUCAGUUCGGAUCGCAGUCUGCAACUCGACAU